rnacentral:rRNA from 1 species
GGUUUUUAGAAAUUAUUAAAAAUCUAACCUGCUCAAUGCUUAGUAAAUAGCCGCAGUAUUUUAACUGUGCAAAGGUAGCAUAAUCAUUUGUCUUUUAAUUGGGGACUGGAAUGAAAGGUUUGACUGAGUUUUUUUGUCUUAUAAUAAUAUUUUGAAAUUUAUAAUUUAGUAAAAAAGCUAAAAUUUUUUAUAGGGACGAGAAGACCCUAUCAAGUUUUACAAUCGAAAACUUAUUUUCAAACUAAGUUCCAAAUUGUUUUGCUGGGGCAGCAAAUAAAAAUUUUUUAUUUUUAAAUUAUGAUUAAUAAAUCUUGAAAAAUCAAAAAGUUUUUAAAUAAAAAUAAAUUACUGUAGGGAUAACAGCAUAAUUUUUUUAAAGAGUUCUCAUCAUCAAAAAAGUUUGUGACCUCGAUGUUGGAUUAAAAUUCCUAAUUCAUGCAAUAAUGAAACAAGGAAGUCUGUUCGACUUUUAAAAUUUUCCA